rnacentral:rRNA from 1 species
GACGAACGCUGGCGGCGUGCUUAACACAUGCAAGUCGAGCGGUAAGGCUCCUUCGGGAGUACACGAGCGGCGAACGGGUGAGUAACACAUGAGCAAUCUGCCCUUCACUUCGGGAUAACUCCGGGAAACCGGUGCUAAUACCGGAUACGACCACUUCACGCAUGUGAUGGUGGUGGAAAGUUCAGGCGGUGGAGGAUGAGCUCGCGGCCUAUCAGCUUGUUGGUGGGGUAANGGCCCACCAAGGCAACGACGGGUAGCCGGCCUGAGAGGGUGACCGGCCACACUGGGACUGAGACACGGCCCAGACUCCUACGGGAGGCAGCAGUGGGGAAUAUUGGACAAUGGGCGAAAGCCUGAUCCAGCAACGCCGCGUGAGGGAUGACGGCCUGGUGUAAC